UACGUAGGGGGGCAAGCGUUGUCCGGAUUUAUUGGGCGUAAAGCGCACGCAGGCGGUCUCUUAAGUUUUGAGUGACAGGUGGUGGCUCAACUACCACAGGGCUUGGAAAACUGGGAGACUUGAGGACUUCAGAGGGAUGCGGAAUUCCAGGUGGAGCGGUGAAAUGCGUAGAGAUCUGGAAGAACACCAAAGGCGAAGGCAGCAUCCUGGGAAGUGCCUGACGCUCAUGUGCGAAAGCUAGGGGAGCGAACGGG
rnacentral:rRNA from 1 species